UACAUGGGGUGCAAACGUUGCUCGGAAUUAUUGGGCGUAAAGCGCACGUAGGCGGUUCGUUAAGUCGGAUGUGAAAGCCCUGGGCUCAACCCAGGAAGUGCGCAGGAUACUGUCAUGCUGGAGUAGCGGAGAGGAUGGCGGAAUUCCCGGUGUAGAGGUGAAAUUCGUAGAUAUCGGGAGGAACACCUGUGGCGAAGGCGGCCAUCUGGACGUUCACUGACGCUGAGACGCGAAAGCGUGGGGAGCAAACAGG
rnacentral:rRNA from 1 species